rnacentral:rRNA from 1 species
GACGAACGCUGGCGGCGCGCUUAACACAUGCAAGUCGAGCGAGAACCUGGGCUUCGGCCCUGGGGACAGCGGCGAACGGGUGAGUAACACGUGGGUAGUCUGCCCUUGACAUCGGGAUAGCCCGGGGAAACCCGGAUUAAUAGCGAAUAGCCUCCGGAGCCUUCGGGCGCCGGAGAAAAGGUAGCUUCGGCCUCUGGUCGAGGAUGAGCCCGCGGCGGAUUAGCUUGUUGGCGGGGUAACGGCCCACCAAGGCGACGAUCCGUAGCUGGUCUGAGAGGACGAUCAGCCACACUGGGACUGAGACACGGCCCAGACUCCUACGGGAGGCAGCAGUGGGGAAUCUUGCGCCAAUGCGGGAAACCGUGACGCAGCGACGCCGCGUGGGGGAAGAAGGCCUUCGGGUUGUAAACCUCUUUCAGGAGGGACGAAGCCACUCGGGUGAAUAGCCCAGAGGGUGACGGUACCUCCAGAAGAAGCCCCGGCUAACUACGUGCCAGCCGCCGCAGUAA